UACGUAGGGUGCAAGCGUUGCCCGGAUUUACUGGGCGUAAAGGGCGCGUAGGCGGCGCGGUAAGUCACUUGUGAAAUCUCUGAGCUUAACUCAGAACGGCCAAGUGAUACUGCAGUGCUAGAGUGUGGAAGGGGCAAUCGGAAUUCUUGGUGUAGCGGUGAAAUGCGUAGAUAUCAAGAGGAACACCUGAGGUGAAGACGGGUUGCUGGGCCAACACUGACGCUGAUGCGCGAAAGCCAGGGGAGCAAACGGG
rnacentral:rRNA from 1 species